rnacentral:tRNA from 1 species
GGUUGUAGCUUAGUGGUAGAAUGCGUGCCUCACAUGUAUGAGGCACUGGGUUUGAUCCUCAGCACCA